rnacentral:rRNA from 1 species
CAGUAGCCACGGUAAGACAGAGGUCCCGAGCGUUGUUCGGAUUCAUUGGGCGUAAAGGGUGUGUAGGAGGCCAGGUAAGUCAGGUGUGAAAUCUCAGAGCUUAACUCUGAAACUGCGCUUUAUACUGCUUGGCUAGAGGAUCGGAGGGGGUAACGGAAUUUAUGGUGUAGCAGUGAAAUGCGUAGAUAUGCGGAGGAACACCGAUGGCGAAGGCAAUCCCCUGGGCCAAUACUGACGCUCAUGCACGAAAGCGUGGGGAGCAAACAGGAUUAGAGACCCGUGUAGUCCCUGUCUCUUAUAC